rnacentral:rRNA from 1 species
AGAGUUUGAUCCUGGCUCAGGAUGAACGCUAGCUAUAGGCUUAACACAUGCAAGUCGAGGGGCAUCAUGAUCGAAGCUUGCUUUGAUUGAUGGCGACCGGCGCACUGGUGAGUAACGCGUAUCCAACCUGCCCGCCACUGGGGAAUAGUCCCCCGAAAGGGGGUUUAAUGCCCCAUGUCUCCUCCUGAGGGCAUCCGAAAGAGGGGAAAGGAAUCCGGUGGCGGAUGGGGAUGCGUCCGAUUAGCUUGUCGGCGGGGUAACGGCCCACCGAGGCUACGAUCGGUAGGGGUUCUGAGAGGAAGGCCCCCCACACUGGUACUGAGACACGGACCAGACUCCUACGGGAGGCAGCAGUGAGGAAUAUUGGUCAAUGGGCGCAAGCCUGAACCAGCCAAGUAGCGUGCAGGAAGACGGCCCUAUGGGUUGUAAACUGCUUUUGCGCGUGAUUAAAGUGCGGUACUUGUGCCGUAUUGCAGUUAGCGCGCGAAUAAGGACCGGCUAAUUCCGUGCCAGCAGCCGCGGUAAUACGGAAGGUCCUGGUGUUAUCCGGAUUUAUUGGGUUUAAAGGGAGCGUAGGCGGCCGAUUAAGCGUGCUGUGAGAUGGCGGGGCCCAACCCCGUCCCUGCAGCGCGAACUGGUUGGCUUGGGUACACGCAAGGCAGGCGGAAUUUGUGGUGUAGCGGUGAAAUGCUUAGAUAUCACGAAGAACCCCGAUUGCGAAGGCAGCUUGCCGGAGUGUUACCGACGCUGAAGCUCGAAGGUGCGGGUAUCGAACAGGAUUAGAUACCCUGGUAGUCCGCACGGUAAACGAUGGAUGCUCGCCGUCUGCGAUACAGUGCAGGUGGCCAAGCGAAAGCGUUAAGCAUCCCACCUGGGGAGUACGCCGGCAACGGUGAAACUCAAAGGAAUUGACGGGGGCCCGCACAAGCGGAGGAACAUGUGGUUUAAUUCGAUGAUACGCGAGGAACCUUACCCGGGCUUGAAUUGCAGAGGAAAGAUCCAGAGAUGGUGAUGCCCUUCGGGGUCUCUGUGAAGGUGCUGCAUGGUUGUCGUCAGCUCGUGCCGUGAGGUGUCGGCUUAAGUGCCAUAACGAGCGCAACCCUUGCCGUCAGUUGCCAUCGGGUAAUGCCGGGCACUCUGUCGGGACUGCCACCGCAAGGUGUGAGGAAGGUGGGGAUGACGUCAAAUCAGCACGGCCCUUACGUCCGGGGCUACACACGUGUUACAAUGGGUGGUACAGAAGGCUGCCUCUGCGCAAGCAGUGGCUAAUCCCUAAAUCCAUCCUCAGUUCGGAUUGGGGUCUGCAACCCGACCCCAUGAAGCUGGAUUCGCUAGUAAUCGCGCAUCAGCCAUGGCGCGGUGAAUACGUUCCCGGGCCUUGCACACACCGCCCGUCAAG